rnacentral:sRNA from 1 species
ACGACAAUCAAGUCAAAUCCCUCUAAAAAACGACCUGCAAAGUUGGCGGUGGACAGUAUUAAUACUGAUGGUGUUUGGUUCGAGUGCAAUGUCA